UUCCAGCUCCAAUAGCGUAUACUAAAGUUGUUGCAGUUAAAAAGCUCGUAGUUGAAUUUCUGGUCUCGGACAGCGGUCUGCCUCAAACGAGGUACGCACCACCUGUUCAGGUCCAUCCUCGGAGAAAACAUGCCUGUGAUUCAGUUCAUGGGUAUGGGAUCUUCGUCAUUUACUGUGAGCAAAAUAUAGUGUUCAAAGCAGGCUUAUGCCGUUGAAUACAUUAGCAUGGAAUAAUAAAAUAAGACCUUGGUCUAUUUUGUUGGUUUGUACUCCAAGGUAAUGAUUAAUAGGGAUAGUUGGGGGUAUUCGUAUUCAAUUGUCAGAGGUGAAAUUCUUGGAUUUAUGGAAGACGAACUACUGCGAAAGCAUUUACCAAGGAUGUUUUCAUCA
rnacentral:rRNA from 1 species